rnacentral:rRNA from 1 species
UCGUAGUUGGAUUUCGGGGCUCCUUACGUAAUAGUCAUGCGGUGGAUACUUGCUUGUUGCUUUAGGGGGGGGUGUUUUUUGGGGCAACCCGAGGACACCACCACCCGGCGGCAGGGGAAAGGCCACUGCGGGCGGGGCCCAUUUAUAUUUCUCGAAGACGUCACGGGCCCUUAACUGGUGUACUGUGGUCGCGGAUUCGAGACGUUUACUUUGAAAAAAUUAGAGUGUUCAAAGCAGGCGAUCAAAAACGCUUGAAUACAUUAGCAUGGAAUAAUGGAAUAGGACUUUGGUCUUAUUUUGUUGGUUUCUAGGACUGAAGUAAUGAUUAAUAGGGACAGUUGGGGGCAUUCGUAUUUAAUUGUCAGAGGUGAAAUUCUUGGAUUUAUGAAAGACGAACUUCUGCGAAAGCAUUUGCCAAGGAUGUUUUCAUUAAUCAAGAACGAAAGUUAGGGGAUCGAAGACGAUUAGAUACCGUCGUAGUCCUAACCAUAAACUAUGCCGACUAGGGAUCAGUGGGGAACAAAUCAAAAAACUCCAUUGGCACCUUAUGAGAAAUCAAAGUUUUUGGGUUCUGGGGAAAGUACCAACGCAAGUUGGAAACUUAAAGGAAUUGACGGAAGGGCACACCAGGCGUGGAAUCUGCGGCUUAAUUGACCCAACACGGGGAAACUCACCAGGUCCAGACAAAAUAAGGAUUGACAGAUUGAGAGCUCUUUCUUGAUUUUUUGGGCAGUGGUGCAUGGCCGUUCUUAGUUGGUGGAGCGAUCUGUCUGGUUAAUUCCGAUAACGAACGAGACCUUAACCUGCUAAAUAGCGACGUCAUUCCUUGUGAAGGACGGAUUUUGACUUCUUAGAGGGACUAUCGGUGACUAACCGAUGGAAGUUUGAGGCAAUAACAGGUCUGUGAUGCCCUUAGAUGUUCUGGGCCGCACGCGCGUUACACUGACAGAGGCAGCGAGUUUUUUUAAAUAUCCUGGCCUGGAAAGGUUUGGGUAAUCUUGUGAAUCUCUGUCGUGAUGGGGAUAGAUCUUUGUAAUUAUCGAUCUUCAACGAGGAAUGCCUUGUAAUCGCGGUUCAUCAAAUCGCGUUGACUACGUCCCUGCCCUUUGUACACACCGCCCGUCGCUACUACCGAUUGAAUGGUUUAGUGAGGUCUCGGGACUGGCGCGGCUUGGCUGUAAAAGGCCGAUCCAUGCUGGGAACUUGCCCAAACUUGAUCAUUUAGAGGAAGUAAAAGUC